rnacentral:rRNA from 1 species
AUGCUUAUAUCUCACCUGAGAAACGGCUACCACAUCCAAGGAAGGCAGCAGGCGCGCAAAUUACCCAAUCCAGACAUUGGGAGGUAGUGACGAGAAAUACUGGGGGCGCUCCAUGUGAGUGCCAUCCGGAAUGAACGUAACACAAAAAAUUCGAUGAGGAUCUACUGGAGGGCAAGUCUGGUGCCAGCAGCCGCGGUAAUUCCAGCUCCAGUAGUGUAUAUCAACAUUGUUGCGCUUAAAACGCUCGUAGUUGGAUUACAGGGCUUCAAACAGGGCCACUGUUAUGUGGUCGUGGUCGUAGCAGGCCAGCAGCCCAUGUGGUUGUUGGUAGCUCGAUGGAGCCCUUUUGUCGCACUGGCCCCGGUCGACGCCUUUGUUGGCGUUGGUCGGUUGCCGGUGGAGUGUGCCUUGAAUAAAGCAUAGUGCUCAAAGCAGGCGUACGCUCGUGUGUAAUAGCAUGGAACGAAUAGAUUUUGACCGCCUCUAGGUGGGCGCCGUGUCACCGCGGCGUUGCAGAGGGGUAGGUUCGAUCAGUGUUGGUUGGAACCACGGUCUCAACGGUUAAAAGGGACACCUGAGGGCACUAGUACUUUGUGGCGAGAGGUGAAAUUCUUAGACCCACAAAAGACUAUCGCGUGCAAUAUUUGCGAGUAUGCUUGCAACGUCGUAGUACAUAUUUACGUCGUAGUACUUCGCGAAUUCAGAUACCGUCCUAGUUUUGACAGCAAACUAUGCCAGCAUAGGGUCGGAGCGGUCGCUCGUUAACAGCGAGUCGGACUACUGCGGGCCUUAAGGGAAACCUAGCUUUCGGGCUGCUGGGAGAAUAUCGCUGCAAGGCUGAAAUUUAAAGAAAUUGACGGAGAGGCACCACCAGGAGUGGAGCCUGCGGCUUAAUUUGACUCAACACGGGGAAACUCACCAGGUCCAGACAUUGGUAGGAUUGACAGACUGGUAGAUCUUUCAUGAUUCAGUGAAUGGUGGUGCAUGGCCGUUCUUAGUUGGUGGAGUGAUCUGUCAGGUCUAUUCCGGUAACGAGCGAGACCACGGCCUCUAGUUAUCAUGUCGUCCAGCCGUGUGCUAGACAGGCCAACUAGAGGGACUAUUGGUGUUCAAACCAGAGGAAGCGUGGCAAUAACAGGUCUGUGAUGCCCUUCGAUGUCCUGGGCUGCACGCGCGCUACAAUGGCAGCAGUAGAGAGUGCGGCUAGCCAGAGAUGGUUGGUUAAACUGUAAAUCGCUGUCGUGAUAGGGAUUGAGCCUUGUAAUUAUUGCUCAUGAAAGAGGAAUUCCUCGUAAGCACUAGUCAUCAGCUAGUGUUGAAUACGUCUCUGCCUCUUGUACACACCGCCCGUCGCUACUACCGAUUGAAUUGCUUUUAAAGCUGGCUGGAUGCAUGCUGUCUAUAACGUCGUAGUACACGUAUUGUCUAGCAU